rnacentral:rRNA from 1 species
GAAAGCUUGGGGAGCAAAACGGAUUAGAUACCCGUGUAGUCCACGCCGUAAACGAUGGAUACUAGAUGUUCGGGGAUUCGACCCCCUGGGUGUCACAGCUAACGCGUUAAGUAUCCCGCCUGGGAAGUACGGCCGCAAGGCUAAAACUCAAAGGAAUAGACGGGGAUCCGCACAAGCGGUGGAGCGUCUGGUUUAAUUUGAUAGUAAGCAAUGGACCUCACCAAGGUUUGACAUCCUAUGACAACCCUGGAAACAGGGCUUCCUUCGGGCAUAGUGACAGGUGCUGCAUGGUCGUCGUCAGUUCGUGCCGUGAGGUGUUCCGUUAAGUCGGGAAACGAACGAAACCCUCGUCGCAUGUUACAAAUUUCAUGCGAGACUGCCCGGGUCAACCGGGAGGAAGGCGGGGAUGACGUCAGAUCAGCAUGGCCCUUAUACCUUGGGCUACACAGGCGCUACAAUGGCCGGUACAAAGGGUUGCAAAACCGCGAGGUGAAGCUAAUCCCAUAAAGCCGGUCCAAGUUCGGAUUGGAGGCUGCAACUCGCCUCCAUGAAGUUGGAAUCG